GAUGAACGCUGGCGGCGUGCUUAACACAUGCAAGUCGAACGGACUUUUAUUGAAGCCUAGCGAUAUAAAAGUUAGUGGCGGACGGGUGAGUAACGCGUGAAUAACCUGCCUUAUACUGGGGGACAACAGUUGGAAACGACUGCUAAUACCGCAUGAUAUAUCUUAGCUGCAUGGCUUGGAUAUCAAAGGAGCAAUCCGCUGUAAGAUGGACUCGCGUCCAAUUAGCUAGUUGGUGAGGUAACGGCCCACCAAGGCGACGAUUGGUAGCCGGACUGAGAGGUUGAACGGCCACAUUGGGACUGAGACACGGCCCAG
rnacentral:rRNA from 1 species